rnacentral:rRNA from 1 species
CCCUUAGAUGUUCUGGGCAGCACGCGCGCUACAAUGGUCUUCGCAAACGGAUGCAUUCUCGAAGGAGAAUGCCAAUCUUGGAAUCUAUGCCUUGGUCGGGACAGUUGCUUGCAAUUUUUCGACUCGAACCAGGAAUUCCUUGUAAUCGUGAUUCAUCACAUCACGAUGAAUACGUCCCUGCCAUUUGUACACACCGCCCGUCGCUCCUACCGAUCGAAGAGUUAGGUGAAUUGUUUUGAUCGAUAAGAUUUGACUAUGGUCAACUCUCGUUGUGAAAUUCUGUGAAUCUGACUGUUUAGAGGAAGGAAAAGUCGUAACA